CCUACGGGAGGCAGCAGUGGGGAAUAUUGGGCAAUGGGCGCAAGCCUGACCCAGCAACGCCGCGUGAAGGAAGAAGGCUUUCGGGUUGUAAACCUCUUUUGGCAGGGACGAAGCAAGGGACGGUACCUGACGAAUAAGCCACGGCUAACGACGUGCCAGAAGCCGCGGUAAUCCGUAGGUGGCAAGCGUAAUCCGGAUUGACUGGGUGUAAAGGGCGUGUAGGCGGGACUGCAAGUCAGAUGUGAAAGCCACGGGCUCAACCUGUGGCCUGCAUUUGACACUGUAGGUCUUGAGUACUGGAGAGGCAGACGGAAUUCCUAGUGUAGCGGUGAAAUGCGUAGAUAUUAGGAGGAACACCAGUGGCGAAGGCGGUCUGCUGGACAGCAACUGACGCUGAGGCGCGAAAGCGUGGGGAGCAAACAGGAUUAGAUACCCCAGUAGUC
rnacentral:rRNA from 1 species